GAUGAACGCUGGCGGCGUGCCUAAUACAUGCAAGUCGAGCGAACGGACGAGAAGCUUGCUUCUCUGAUGUUAGCGGCGGACGGGUGAGUAACACGUGGAUAACCUACCUAUAAGACUGGGAUAACUUCGGGAAACCGUAGCUAAUACCGGAUAGUAUUUUGAACCGCAUGGUUCAAAAGUGAAAGACGGUCUUGCUGUCACUUAUAGAUGGAUCCGCGCUGCAUUAGCUAGUUGGUAAGGUAACGGCUUACCAAGGCAACGAUGCAUAGCCGACCUGAGAGGGUGAUCGGCCACACUGGAACUGAGACACGGUCCAGACUCCUACGGGAGGCAGCAGUAGGGAAUCUUCCGCAAUGGGCGAAAGCCUGACGGAGCAACGCCGCGUGAGUGAUGAAGGUCUUCGGAUCGUAAAACUCUGUUAUUAGGGAAGAACAUAUGUGUAAGUAACUGUGCACAUCUUGACGGUACCUAAUCAGAAAGCCACGGCUAACUACGUG
rnacentral:rRNA from 1 species